rnacentral:rRNA from 1 species
AGUGCAGCAGUCGAGGAAUAUUGGUCAAUGGACGGAAGUCUGAACCAGCCAUCCCGCGUGCAGGAAGAAGGCGCUAUGCGUUGUAAACUGCUUUUCCGAGGGAAGAAAAUUUCGCACGAGUGCGGAACUGUCGGUACCUUGGGAAUAAGCAUCGGCUAACUCCGUGCCAGCAGCCGCGGUAAUACGGAGGAUGCGAGCGUUAUCCGGAUUUAUUGGGUUUAAAGGGUGCGUAGGCGGACCGAUAAGUCAGUGGUGAAAACCUGCAGCUUAACUGUAGACGUGCCAUUGAUACUGUCGGACUUGAGUGUGGUCAAGGUAGGCGGAAUGUGUAAUGUAGCGGUGAAAUGCUUAGAUAUUACACAGAACACCGAUUGCGAAGGCAGCUUGCUGGACCAUUACUGACGCUGAUGCACGAAAGCGUGGGGAGCGAACAGGAUUAGAUACCCCGGUAGC